AGAUCAUGUUGAGGGAAGCUACUAAGCCAGCCCUUGUACUUCUCCCAAGCUUCAUAUGAGGAUUCUCCGACCUCUUGUUGAAAGUUAGGAAUCUUCGUUUUUAGCUU